GACGAGGGGUCCAAGCGUUGUUCGGAAUCAUUGGGCGUAAAGCGGGUGUAGGUGGCUUUGUAAGUCAGGAGUGAAAUCCCCGAGCUUAACUUGGGAAGUGCUUUUGAAACUGCAGGGCUUGAGUGUGGGAGAGGAUCGUGGAAUUCCAGGUGUAGUGGUGAAAUACGUAGAUAUCUGGAGGAACACCGGUGGCGAAGGCGGCGAUCUGGCCCAACACUGACACUGAGACCCGAAAGCGUGGGGAUCAAACAGG
rnacentral:rRNA from 1 species